UUUUGCCUACGGGGCGCAGCAGUGAGGAAUAUUGGUCAAUGGGAGGAAUCCUGAACCAGCCAUGCCGCGUGCAGGACGACGGCUCUACGAGUUGUAAACUGCUUUUGUACCGGGGUGAAAUGCCUUACGAGUAGGGUUUUGAAAGUACGGUACGAAUAAGGAUCGGCUAACUCCGUGCCAGCAGCCGCGGUAAUACGGAGGAUCCGAGCGUUAUCCGGAUUCUUUGGGUUUAAAGGGUGCGUAGGUUGUUUUAUAAGUUAGCG
rnacentral:rRNA from 1 species